AGGGUGUGUCUGCCAGAAGAUAAUCAACAUUGCUGAUCCAUGUUGCCUGAAGCAAUUGAUAAGGUGAUUCAGUGGCUAUGAUCUAAUGACUACUUCUGGGGGAGCAAUCAUCUGCAACCUUCAUGGAGGCCAGCAACGACAUCCAAUUACAACAAAGAGGAGAUAUACUUAUUCUUUGAUAGAAAUAGUAUUUGUAUAUUAAUGUAUAUGUAUACAUAGCGUAUCCAUACAGAAAACAAGACAUAGGAACUUUGUGGACCAUCUCAUGCUUCAUCUGUGCCAUGCUACAAAUAAUUGGAUAGCAUUUUUUUGGAUGUUCUUUGAGCCAAGGAAGCAACUCUCAGAUGUCGACAGGAACCUGCGGCUCAGGAUGGGCAGUAGAGCCACUGAAGAAUGUUGUGAUUCAGCUCCUGCCAACUCGUGGUUCUAAAUUAGAGGCUGCAGCAAAGGGAACUGUGGGAACAUUAGAAUGCAGCACAAAGAAGUCUUUUUUGGACUUUUUUGGUGUAUUAAAACUUCUCUGCAGUUAAUAAAUGAGUUCAUGAAGUCAGAGAGGACACAGAGAUCUGGUGUGAAGUAGUGGAGCAGAGAUUCAAGACUUUCGGGUCUAGUCACAGCCUCAAUUAAACUCCCGGAGCCUUAGUUGAAGCACCUUGCUGGAAGGUCAUUUUCCCCUGCUGACAAUGGACAAGAGUCUGAAUACUGAAGAUUCAGCAUAUACUGCAUCUGGUAUGUGCUAAUUUACUGGAACUAUAUGAUCUGAUCUCAUCAAGAAACUUUGGGAUUUGUCACUAGGCUGAUUCUGAUAAGCUCAUUCCCUUCAGCAAGGCAAACGAGGAAGUCAUUUAUAUAAGCAGAGAUUCAUUUUGGACUGACCUGAUUCUCUGAGCUGAAGAUGAGGACCCGGAAGAUGCAAUUUCCACUGAACUCAGCUUGCUGAAUCAGAUGCUAGUGAAGCUGUGACUGGCACAUAGUAGGAACUCAAGUCAGCCUUGUCAAAAUUAUUUCCUGCUGUUGAAUCUCCUCUAGAUCUGUUAACAGUUUCUGACACUAAUAACAAAAUCUUUGAAUUUUGUAAAUAGUAAUUGUCUGUCUGAUUGCUUAUCUAUGUUACGUUUUCAGUUGGGGAAGUUGAAGAGAAGUCAAAGGACAUGAAGCCCCAGCCUACCAAUGUUUUAUUUGCAAGCACUCUGAAUUCAUAACUCAGUGAGACUUGAGUUUUAAAGUUGCUUAAAAAAUGUUUUGGGGUAAUAGGUGCAUUGAUUUUUGCCAUCUCUGCUCUGUCAAUGCCUGGGAUAACAAUAUAUUUUGUUUGUGGUACUCCAUUUCUUUAAUUCAGUUCAAAUGUUUUGUGAUUUGUAUCUUUUUCAUUUGCUGGAACUUUUUUUUAGAGUGUUUAUUUCUGUCACUUCUAUUUCUAGACUUUUAUUAUUUACUUAUAUUUUACUUUACAUAAUGAGACUGUCUAUAAAAAGUUAACCAUUUCAUGACAUAAAAAAAAUCAUACGGAAAGAAAAUAUACUUCUACAG